rnacentral:lncRNA from 1 species
CUAAAGUAAAUUUUACAACAGGAAUGCUAAUCGACUUCUUGCGGAUAAUUCGAGGUGCACGUCGGCUUACGAUAUGCAUAAGAGUCAACAAAAUCUAGAAAGAACAAUCACAUGACCAAACAACACUGAAUGAGCAGCAAACAUUAGGAGGAAGAUUAACACACACAAUCACUUGUUUCAAACGAUUCUUAGAUUAGAAUUCUAAAGGUCUCCACCCUAUAUCAAUUACUUGCACCUAAUCGCUAUAAAUCAGAUAGAAAACACCCUUACAAUAAGAGAAAACAAAGAUCGAUGCGAAUAGUUCAGUCUUCAUGCUCAAAAUCUUAGGGUCAAAACAGAACAACCAAAGCAGACAUAAUAAGAAAUCCGCAAAAACAGUUGGAACACCUUAAGUAAAUUUUACAACAGGAAUGCUAAUCACUUCUUGCGGAUAAUUCGAGGUGCACGUCGGCUUACGAUAUGCAUAAGAGUCUAUAAAAUCUAGAAAGAACAAUCACAUGACCAAACAACACUGAAUGAGCAGCAAACAUUACGAGGAAGAUAAACACACACAAUCACUUGUUCCAAACGAUUCUUAGAUUAGAAGACCAGACAAACAUUCCUUGGCAGUUAUACAAAAUCAUAGAAGAGGCUAACGAAAACAAGAGAAAUGACUACACAAAUCUCAGUUAUUCUUUCAAACUUCAACCCAUUUUAUAGCCCACACAAAUCGAUUUACAACGGAAAGUAAAAUGAAGAAGAGAAAAGAACCUGGAAUUAAGAUUCUGAAUUAGUAUAACCUUGUAAUCGACCAAGAGGAAUCAAAUAGCAACUAAAAUCAACCCUAGAGCAGUAACAGACUCGAAUUUGUCAAGGGACUUCCAUUUUACCCCAAAAUCCAUAACUGUAAUAAAAAAAUAAACUCUAUAGGUUUCGAAAAAAAACUCUUAAUAGUAAUCGACAAGAAAAAUCAAAUAACAUCCCCCUCGGCUAUUUUUGUUGUUCCAAUAUUAGAAAUAAAAGAAUGAAUAGAACCGAAAAUAAUCUCUCAAAUUCAUUUCCGAAAAAUCUCUCCCACUUUGAAAUUUUUUUCUCACUCUCUUUUAAAAAUCAGAACUGGCCCUAUCUUAAGCGAAUCCUUGAUGAAUGUGGGGUUUGGAUUGAAUGAGAUCAAUCCAAUGCCUCACACUCAUACAGCCCAUCCGCCUCAAGAACCUUCUAAUUGUGAUAUACAUCUAAAUCGAGUGAGUGAGAGGGGAAGGGAAUCUUGCAUCAGAAACCGUUAGAACGGUGAGAGGAGGGAUGGGUGGUAUGCGUGGGUUAGGGAUUUGGGACUCACUCGCCUCAAUUUGGAUGGAAUUUGGGGCUUUGUUUGCGUGUUCUUCGGAGAAGAAAAACAGUACGCGCCUGAGGUGGGAGAUUAGGGCUUCUGUUCAUUUAUGUUAUGAAUUAGGCGACUGGGCAGGUUAUAGCUAAGCGGUUGGGCAUCAGGUGGUUUAAGAAGGCAUUGGGCUUGGGGGUUUUGAGUUAAAAUGGCCCAAAUUUCUAAUUCUCUUUGUUUUCCUCUUUUGUUUUCUUUUUUUUCUCUUUUGUUUAUUAAAAUUAAACU